rnacentral:rRNA from 1 species
GGUUGAAGCAUAGCUAACCGUACUAAAACUGACACAGGUAGGUGAGACGAGUAGUCUAAGGCGCUCGGGAGAAUACUGGUUAGGGAACUCUGCAAAAUGGCCCCGUAAGUUCGCGAUAAGGGGUGCCCUCGGCGGUGCAAGCUGCUGGGGGCCACAGUAAAUCGAUUCCUCCAACUGUUUAUCAAAAACACAGGUCUCUGCUAACUCGCAAGAGGAUGUAUAGAGACUGACGCCUGCCCGGUGUCGGUAGGUUAAGGGAGUAGGUUAGCCGUAAGGCGAAGCUUGCGACCGAAGCCCCGAUAAACGGCGGCCGUAACUAUGACGGUCCUAAGGUAGCGAAGUUCCUUGUCGGGUAAGUUCCGACGUGCAUGAAAGGCGUAAUGAGAGGAAGACUGUCUCAACCAGUAACCCGGUGAAAUUGUAGUCGUGGUGAAGAUGCCACGUUCCCGCAGCUAGACGGAAAGACCCCGUGAACCUUGACUGUAGGCUGAUAUUGGGCUCGUGUAUUGACUGUGUAGGAUAGGUGGGAGGCUAUGAACCUUGGGCGCAAGCUUGAGGGGAGCCAUUGGUGAAAUACCACCCUUUUAAUGCAUAAGUUCUAACGCUGAUUCCUGUGAAUCCAGGCAGCGGACAGUGUCAGUUGGGCAGUUUGACUGGGGCGGUCUCCUCCUAAAGAGUAACGGAGGAGCCCAAUAGGCGACCUCAGCCUGGUUGGCAAUCAGGCAUCGAGCGUAAAGGUAUAAGGUUGCUAAACUGCGAGACCCAUGAGUCGAGCAGAUGUGAAAGCAGGGCUUAGUGAUCCGGUAGUCCCGUAUGGAAGGGCUAUCGCUCAACAGAUAAAAGGUACUCCGGGGAUAACAGGCUUAUCGCUCCCGAGCGUCCAUAGCGGCGGAGCGGUUUGGCACCUCGAUGUCGGCUCAUCACAUCCUGGGGGUGGAGAAGCUCCCAAGGGUUUGGCUGUUCGCCAAUGAAAGUGGUACGUGAGCUGGGUUCAGACCGUCGUGAGACAGGUCGGUCCCUAUCUACUGUGGGCGCACGAGACUUGAGGAGGUUCUUCUUUAGUACGAGAGGAUUUAGAAGGACGACCCUCUGGUGUUCCUGUUGUCGCGCUAGCGGCACGGCAGGGUAGCUAAGGUCGGAACGGAUAAACGCUGAAGGCAUCUAAGCGUGAAGCCCGCUCCAAGAUUAGGUCUCGUUGGGUAAUACCCGAAAGUCCCCUGGAAGACGACCAGGUUGAUAGGCCGGAUGUGUAAGUACAGUAAUGUAUUCAGCUAACCGGUACUAACGGACGAAUGCUUGGCCAC